rnacentral:lncRNA from 1 species
CUGGGUUGUUGAUUUUUUUUCUUCUUUUUUCUUUUUUCCGUGGGUAUUUUUAUCCUUUCGUCCUUCCCUCUCUAGGCUUGUGGGUGCAUGUUGCAGACGCCGGUGCCUGUGGGUGCAGGCAGAAGGAGGGAGAGCUGGGUGGAGGUUUGGACCACAAUCAGGCAAAUGACGUGGGGCCUGAGUGCAGUUCAUAUUGCUGCUGUGCUCAUCGAGCCCAAUCACAGCUCAAAAACAGGAUGAGAAACGGUUUUUCUUCAGGCAACAAGUAGGAGUUUACCUGCCUCGUCCCCUCUGACGCUGCCUGCGCUGACGACCCGUGGCUGGCGUGGGGCUGGGCCAGGCCUGGGCAGCACGGCAGGGCUUGGUGGCAGCUGCAGCAUCGCUUCGUGUGCUGGAUUUGUUAGGAUCUGCAGUUUCUCUCUGCACGGCUGGGCCGGCAGUUUCCUACACCCCAUGGAGGGUUCAGCGCUGCCAGGCAGUGACAAGCCUGCACUGGCUCCAUUAGUUUAAAAUGAGGAUUGCAGACUGGACCUCACCCGAGUUUACUGAGAUGGAGAUGCAGGAAGGGAAUCAAUCCUGCUGUCAGAGGAGGCACCCCAGUGCUGGCUCUGCGUUUCAGUGCCUUGUGGACAUACCUGCAGGAGCACUGCUAAGCCAUCCCUGCCUUUCCCCCCUCUUCCCUGCACCCAGCUCAGCCAAGCAGGCUUGAUAUGUGUAUUUUUUUCUUUUUCAGACAGUUCCUUUCCUUUUCUCUAUAUUUAGAAUAAUUCACCUCUUUUUACACAUCUCCCUUCUCAUUCUUGGCCAUGUGUCCCUAUGGCCUUCCCCGUUCUCCUUCACCGAGGCCGCAGAAAGAACCUCUGGCCUGUGUUCCCCCCAACCCACCGUCCCACUCCACGGGCCUGGGAGCCCAAGCCCGUGGGCACUGCGCCUGCACCAGGCAGGUGGCAACCACGGACCUGGAGAGAGGUGAGAGAAGCAUGAGAGGGGUUAAAAAUGACAACAUGAACAUCAGACUGGUUUCUUGCAGCCUUCAGGACACACCCCUGCCUUUCUCUGCAGCUGUGAGGACCAAGGACCUUCAUGCAAACUGCCUAAGCGUUUAUGACGGAGCAGCCACCUCGCAGCCCCUGGGGCGUGACGUUCAUCUGACGUUCAGUUCGGGGAGGAGCCCAGUUCAGCACCCUGAGCAUCAUCCCCAACACCGAACUACCAGGUUUUUCUCUUUUUUAGCCUAAGGUAGGAAAACCUCUAUGGUCCUCUGUUCUUGUCCCAGACAGGGCAAGCUAGAAGUGCUUGAAACUGUCUGUUUUUAUUAAACUAAGCAUUUUAAACAGAUGAGGCACUUAGCUAUUCAAACUAGAAAUUAAUUAGAAAACUAAAUAAACAGCACAUAAAGUCAGGGCA